CUUGGAUGAUGUUUCUCUCCUUGAGAGAUUGAAGCUCCAUCUUUCCUUCCUCCUUCUCUCUUGAAGCUAGCAAGGUGGUGAAACCUCUUCCAAGGGGAAAAGAGAUCGCCGAGGAGUAAUCGUGUCCAAAGCCUAGGUGAUUUAUUUUUUAGUGGUCCUAGUGCGAGCCUUUUGAGGUGGCGCGAAAGAUUGGCUAAUCGUUUCGACCAAUGCAGGAGAGGGCGUAGGACCCUGAUUGAACGGUCAUCAAGGAGCCGGAGUCACCAUACGGUGAACUGAUGGGCCAACGUCAACGGCAUGAGUACCUUAACGGCUGUGAACCUAGAAGAGGGCACAUCGAAAGUUUAGAGAGUUUUCUAAACCACUACUUGCUUGGUUACAGGUAGUAGUGUGGUUGCGUGCAAGGCAUUUGCUAGUCUCCUACCUUAUGUGUUCAUAUUUUCAUUCAUGUAUGUUUGUUUUGGUCAUGAACAUGUUAUAUGGGUCAUGGAUUCAUUAGUAUGUUGAAAACUAUGUUCCAUGGUUGUGUGUAUUUGAACACAUCUUAAACUCUCGUGUAUAACUACGGUUUGUUGUUGUUGUUGUUGUUGUUGUUGUUUCCCUAAGUGUCUUUGUAUUCCUCCACCCAGCACUUUGUGUUUAUUAUUGUUGAUUCCAGGUUUGUUUUGUCAGCCUUGUGGUAACCCGAGGGUUGAGUGGUGGGGUAUCCCUCCUCGGGUUUGUCGCAGUGGUUGUUGCGUCCCAUGGGCCAGCGGGUUGGAGCGUGAUAGAU